rnacentral:rRNA from 1 species
AGUAACGACAAAACGGGUGAAAAACCCGUUCGCCGAAAGACCAAGGGUUCCAGUCCAACGUUAAUCGGGGCUGGGUGAGUCGACCCCUAAGGCGAGGCCGAAAGGCGUAGUCGAUGGGAAAAUGGUUAAUAUUCCAUUACUUCUGUGUAAUGCGAUGAGAGGACGGAGAAGGCUAAAUCAGCCUGGCGUUGGUUGUCCAGGUGAAAGGAUGUAGGCAUGUAUCUUAGGCAAAUCCGGGGUACUCUAUGCUGAGAUCUGAUAGCAAGCUGUACUUGUACAGCGAAGUGGUUGAUGCCAUGCUUCCAGGAAAAGUCUCUAAGCUUCAGUUACACAGGAAUCGUACCCGAAACCGACACAGGUGGUCAGGUCGAGUAGACCAAGGCGCUUGAGAGAACUCUGCUGAAGGAACUAGGCAAAAUGGUACCGUAACUUCGGGAGAAGGUACGCUGUUGUUGGUGAUGGAACUCGCUUCCUGAGCUGACGACAGCCGCAGAAACCAGGCCGCUGCAACUGUUUAUUAAAAACAUAGCACUCUGCAAACACGAAAGUGGACGUAUAGGGUGUGAUGCCUGCCCGGUGCUGGAAGGUUAAUUGAUGGGGUUAGCGUAAGCGAAGCUCUUGAUCGAAGCCCCAGUAAACGGCGGCCGUAACUAUAACGGUCCUAAGGUAGCGAAAUUCCUUGUCGGGUAAGUUCCGACCUGCACGAAUGGCAUAAUGAUGGCGGCGCUGUCUCCAGCAGAGGCUCAGUGAAAUCGAAAUCGCUGUGAAGAUGCAGUGUACCCGCGGCUAGACGGAAAGACCCCGUGAACCUUUACUGCAGCUUGACACUGAACUUUGACCUUACUUGUGUAGGAUAGGUGGGAGGCUUUGAAGCUGGAACGCUAGUUCCAGUGGAGCCGUCCUUGAAAUACCACCCUGGUAAUGUUGAGGUUCUAACUCUGUCCCGUGAUCCGGGACGAGGACCGUGUCUGGUGGGUAGUUUGACUGGGGCGGUCUCCUCCUAAAGAGUAACGGAGGAGUACGAAGGUGCGCUCAGCGUGGUCGGAAAUCACGCGUAGAGUAUAAAGGCAAAAGCGCGCUUAACUGCGAGACCCACAAGUCGAGCAGGUACGAAAGUAGGUCUUAGUGAUCCGGUGGUUCUGUAUGGAAGGGCCAUCGCUCAACGGAUAAAAGGUACUCUGGGGAUAACAGGCUGAUACCGCCCAAGAGUUCAUAUCGACGGCGGUGUUUGGCACCUCGAUGUCGGCUCAUCUCAUCCUGGGGCUGAAGCAGGUCCCAAGGGUAUGGCUGUUCGCCAUUUAAAGAGGUACGCGAGCUGGGUUUAGAACGUCGUGAGACAGUUCGGUCCCUAUCUACCGUGGGCGCUGGAAAUUUGAGAGGAUCUGCUCCUAGUACGAGAGGACCAGAGUGGACGAACCUCUGGUGUACCGGUUGUGACGCCAGUCGCAUCGCCGGGUAGCUAUGUUCGGAAGGGAUAACCGCUGAAAGCAUCUAAGCGGGAAGCCUACCUCAAGAUAAGAUUUCCCUAGGACUUUAUGUCCUCUAAAGAGCCGUUCGAGACUAGGACGUUGAUAGGUUGGAUGUGGAAGCAUAGUGAUAUGUGAAGCUGACCAAUACUAAUUGCUCGUGAGGCUUGACUAU